rnacentral:rRNA from 1 species
UGAUAUACGCUCGUCUCAAAGGUUAAGCCAUGCAUGUCUAAGUACAAGCUUCCUAGAAAGUGAAACCGCAUAAGGCUCAGUAUAACAGCUAUAAUUUACAAGAUCCUCAUCCAAACAGUUACUUGGAUAACUGUGGAAAAGCCAGAGCUAAUACAUGCAUUAUGCCGGGACUGUUGGCCUCCGGGUCGGCGGAACUGGUGCACUUAUUAGUUAAACCAAUCGCCUCCGGGCGCUUUGAGUUGAAAUCUGGAUAAGGAUGCGAUCGUACGGUCGCUUGCGACUGACGACAGAUCUUUCAAAUGUCUGCCCUAUCAACUAUUGAUGGUAGUGUAGAGGACUACCAUGGUUGCGACGGGUAACGGGGAAUCAGGGUUCGAUUCCGGAGAGGGAGCCUGAGAAAUGGCUACCACAUCCAAGGAAGGCAGCAGGCGCGUAAAUUACCCAAUCCCGGCACGGUGAGGUAGUGACGAGAAAUAACAAUAUGGACCUCUCUAACGAUGGUCCAUAAUUGGAAUGAGUUGAGCAUAAAUCCUUUUGCAAGGAUCAAGUGGAGGGCAAGUCUGGUGCCAGCAGCCGCGGUAAUUCCAGCUCCACUAGCGUAUAUUA